AGAGGAUCUGCCUGAUUUUGCUCGGCUCGUUCUGCCAAUCUGCUCCAAUUAUUGGCAAUAUAGUGCUAGGAGAGUGCACUUUCUGACAGAUAUUGAAAGCACUGCUUCCACAGUCUUCAAGUCUUUGCCAGCGUGGAUUGCUGGGUCCUGAAAUCAGCUUUCUUCACUAGCAGCACAGUCACAACACCUUCAUUCGUAUGAGUAUGAAACAGAACUGACGUUUCAGGAAGUUGUGACAAUCUGAUGCUCAAGUGUCCAUGGAUCCAGAAAAACAUCUCACUGUCCUUCUGCAAAGAGCAUGGAAGUCCUUCACUCUCACUUGACUGAUCAUCAGAGCCAUGCAGAAGCACAUACAUGUCAAGAAUGGCAUAUAUGGCAUUCAAAGAAGCAUCUCUGUUGCAUACAGGGCUUGUGGAAUUUACAGCACAGAUGAUGGGGGACAACAAAGCCACUAAUCAUCAGGAAGAUUUAAUCAACAUUUUACUUUGGGGAAUUUGGAUACACCUUUUAUUCCUAGCAAAGACUAGCCUGUGAUCUGGUUUAAAGACAAAAUUUAAAAGCACAAGGCAAAAGAAAAGAAAAAUGAACAAACAAAACAGAAAUAAAAUGAGGCUGCUUAUUACUGUUCCUAAAGGA
rnacentral:lncRNA from 1 species